rnacentral:rRNA from 1 species
CCUACGGGUGGCAGCAGUGAGGAAUAUUGGUCAAUGGACGAGAGUCUGAACCAGCCAAGUAGCGUGAAGGAUGACUGCCCUAUGGGUUGUAAACUUCUUUUAUAAAGGAAUAAAACGAGGCACGUGUGCCUUUUUGCAUGUACUUUAUGAAUAAGGAUCGGCUAACUCCGUGCCAGCAGCAGCGGUAAUACGGAGGAUCCGAGCGUUAUCCGGAUUUAUUGGGUUUAAAGGGAGCGUAGAUGGGUUGUUAAGUCAGAUGUGAAAGUUUGCGGCUCAACCGUAAAAUUGCAAUUGAUACUGGCAGUCGUGAGUACAGUUGAGGUAAGCGGAAUUCGUGGUGUAGCGGUGAAAUGCGUAGAUAUCACGAAGAACCCCGGUUGCGAAGGCAGCUUACUAAACUGUGACUGACAUUGAUGCUCGAAAGUGUGGGUAUCAAACAGGAUUAGAUACCCCUGUAGUC